rnacentral:lncRNA from 10 species
CAUGGUGAAACCUCAUCUCUACUAAAAACACAAUAAUUAGCUGGUGUGAUGGUGCAUGCCUGUAGUCCCACCUACUCGGGAGGCUGAGGCAGGAGAAUCACUUCAACCCAGGAGGUGGAGGUUGCAGUGAGCCGAGAUCACGCCACUGCAUUCCAGCCUGGGUGACAAAAGCAAAACUCAGUCUCCAAAAAAAAAAGAAGUCUGGGGUCUAAGCUGCCAGUCUGUGGGGCUUUGUCAUGGCAGCCCUAGGACGCUGAUUACAUGUUUCCACCCCAACCCUGGCUUGCCUCCUGUGUUUCCUGCCUCUGUGAAAGAGACUCCCACCCAGCCAGCUGCCCAAGUCAGAAAGCGGCUUGAGAUUCAUGCUGCCUCCUCCUCUCUCACCACCACCAUCCGUGUUCCUCAGGACCUGUCAUCCCAGUGCACACAGCCAGGCCUCUGCGAGACUGUUUCAUAGAUGCUCAAGACACCAGCAAACCAGUGCCACCGAACAAGUAUGAGAAAAGAACAGGCUAGAUUAUGUUAUCCAGAACUUCACAACCAUCAGAUCUAGACAGAAGGUAUUUUGGUUUCAGCAAAUAUUAAGUGUGGUUUAGAUCAUCCCUGAGGAGCCUAACAUGGGUGCCAUGGGGAUCGGGUGGGGGCACACUCAUUGAACAAGGCUGGCCUGGGCUGGGGGUUAGCAGAAGGGCAGGGCCCUUCCCAAGCACUAAGCAGUUAGCCCGGGCCAGCCUGCAGGAUGCCUAGGGCACAAGACCCCUACAGUGGCCUGGCACCUGUCCUCCCAGGACCCACUGUCGAUUGCAGGAGGUGGACAGUGAACACAGAAAAGCUGUAAGGUGUCCUGUGACAGAUGUAUGUGGUGGACACAGCAGGACCCAGAGGAAGGAAGAAAGAAGCUGCUCUUGAAAAGACCCUCAAACCACGAUGCUCAAGGAAGUGUCGAGAGAUGAAGGAGAGGUGUUUGCCAGGCAGAGCAGGUGGGGAAGGAUAAUCUGAGGAGGAUAGAUAGCCAGUGCAAAGGCUCAGAGCACUUUUGGAGUGCUGCCAGACCAGGGUGGGUGCGGGGCCCUGGAGGGGGCGAGGCAGGAACCUGACCGAGGGGGCUUUGGAGGUCAUGUCCAUCUUCUGUGAUGUUACAGUGAGGGCUGCCCAGAAGGGUUCAGGAGAGUCACGUGGUGGAGUUUGUCACAUAAAAUAACCCUGGGGCCCGGUGUGGUGGCUCAUGCCUGUAAUCCCAGCAGUUUGAGAGGCUGAAGUGAGAGAAUCGCUCGAGCCCAGGAGUUCAAAACCAGCCUGGGCUGGUGGCUGGUAGUGAG